AAUGGGCGAAAGCCUGAUGCAGCAACGCCGCGUGAAGGAUGAAGGCCUUCGGGUUGUAAACUUCUGUUCUAAGGGAAGAAAGAAAUGACGGUACCUUAGGAGCAAGCCCCGGCUAACUACGUGCCAGCAGCCGCGGUAAUACGUAGGGGGCAAGCGUUAUCCGGAAUUAUUGGGCGUAAAGAGUGCGUAGGUGGUUACCUAAGCGCAAGGUUUAAAUUAGAGGCUCAACCUCUACAUGCCUUGCGAACUGGGCUACUUGAGUGCAGGAGGGGAAAGCGGAAUUCCUAGU
rnacentral:rRNA from 1 species